rnacentral:lncRNA from 1 species
CUUGUAAUCUUAUAUUAUGUGGUUAGGUUUACUUCAUUAUAUGAUGUCGAAACGUCAUUAUAUUAUGUGCUUUCAUCGUCGUUAUGGUCAAUGAACAUGAUUACGAUUAGAAUGAUUACUGUCUACGUCAUAACUGAUUCCGAUCUGCUUCUGUGGAGUAACCGUUACUACUACUAGUAAUUAGGAUCAAAUCUGUAGCUACCGUUUGGAAAAUGGUUGAGACUUGAGAUAAACCU